rnacentral:misc_RNA from 1 species
GGACAUUUGACAUCAAAGAGUGAUGUCUACAGUUUCGGUGUAGUUCUGCUUGAAAUGAUGACAGGUAGGAGAUCCAUGGACAAGAACCGGCCAAACGGUGAACACAACCUUGUUGAGUGGGCACGGCCACAUUUGGGUGAAAGAAGAAGGUUUUAUAAAUUGAUAGAUCCUAGACUUGAAGGCCAUUUUUCUAUAAAAGGUGCACAGAAAGCUGCACAGCUGGCUGCACGAUGCCUUAGCCGGGAUCCCAAAGUCAGACCUAUGAUGAGUGAUGUGGUCGAAGCCUUGAAGCCUUUGCCAAACCUCAAGGACAUGGCCAGCUCCUCCUACUAUUUCCAGACGACACAAGCAGACCGAGUUGGAUCAAGCCCAAGCCCUAAUACAAGAAAUGUCCUUAGAACGCAAGGAUCGUUCUCAAGGAAUGGACAACAACCACCACCAAGAAGCCUUUCGAUUCCAAAUGGUUCUCAUGCUUCUCCAUACCGUCAUCAACUUUCUCAGAAUUCGCCAAAUCCAAAUGGCAAACCAUAGAAUUGGAUUCUGCAGUGGUUUGUUUUUAC